rnacentral:rRNA from 1 species
GCAGUCCAAGAAUAUUAGUCAAUGCUCGCAAGAGUGAACGAGCUAACUGAAAGAAUAUAUAAUCUAAGGUUAGGAAUCUUAUAAAUUUUAUUAUAGGUUUAAAGACGAAUCUAACUAACAGUGUCGUCCAAAUUCUGGUGCCAGAAGACUCGGUAAUACCAGAGACGCGAACGUUAAUCAUCUUGAAUGGGCAUAAAGGGUUUGUAGGCGGCUUAUUUAUGAAUAGGCUAGAAUCUUAUAGAGGUUAAUAAAAUACUUAGAGGAGGGCUGAUAUCCUUAGAUCCUAAGUGGAAUCCUAAUUGCGAAGGCCAUUUUCCACUACAGAUUGACGCUGAGACACGAAGGUUAGGAUAGGAACUAGGAUUAGAGACCCUAUUACCCCUAACUGUAAACGAUGAAUGGAAGAUAUUUACAACUGUAAGUGUCGAAGUGAAUACGAUAACCAUUCCGCCUUGCUAGUAUACUUGCAAAAGUGAAAACAAAAAAAUUAGUCGGUCCUAAAGCAAACGAAGUGAAGCAUGUUAUUUAAUU